AUGGAGGUCACGGCCGGAGCAGGCAGACUGGCCCUGGGCCGGGGUGGGCCGCUUCCGUGUGGGCUGGGGGGCGGGGAGCAGUCGCCACUGCUGCCCAGCACCAGGCACCCAGUGGCACGUCCCAGCCGUGCUGGGCAGGGCGGCUCGCACAGGCCGGCUCGGGCCAGCGCCCAGGGGGAGCCAGCUGCGCCCCCGCCCCCAGCAGAUGUGAGUCGGAAGUGGGGAGGGCCGGGCGCAGGGGUGCUGGUGACGGGGCCCUUCCUGUGGCGGUACAGGUGUACAUGCAAGAACAUGUGGGGGUGUGCUGGCGUGAGGGCGGGCCACACGUGUGCACGCCUGCCCACGCCGUGGAGGGUCCACUGGCUGAACCAUGUGGCCAGGGAGCAGCAGCUUGGUGACUGCUGACCCUGAGGCCCUACAGGGCUCCUGGGCAGGAGGGGACCUGAGGCUGCCUUGGCCGCCCCCUCUGCCCCCACCCUUCUUCCCCACACAUGGCUGGCAAUGUCCUUCUCUGUGCCCCUGGGUCUUAGGUCUGAGGCUGCCCUCACGGAUGCCCCUGCUGGUCGUGACCUAACAGAGCCCCCACCCCACGUGUCUCCUGAUGUCGGGGGUCUCCGGGUGGGGCCUGGCUGGGCUCUACAGGAAGGCAGUACCUGGGUGUCCAUCUCCACGUGACCUGGGGACACCGUGCCGGAGGGGCAGCCCCCAGGAGACCGCCCUGACUGUGGGGCUGAGAUGACAGUGGCUUUGCCUUAAAACUGGAAUCCUGGGCCUCCCGCUCAGAGGGACACACAGACAAGGAGACGGACAGACGGGCAGCUGGCGACAGGCAGAAGCUGCUGAGAAUUGGCGGAAGUUGGGCGGGUGGCCGGCGGGGGGCCCGACAGGUCCUGGAAAUCCUCGCUUCCUGUUUUCCCAACAAAGGGCCUCUGUCUCCGGGAGGCCGCUGGCCAGCAUCAGCGGACGUGCCUUUUCCGUAAACAGAGUUGUUUUCUCUCUCCUCUUGGCACAGUAACAGCGGGUUCCAAGCCCCUCAACCCCGUCCCCGAGCACGACCAGCCACAGGGGCCCGGUACGGA
rnacentral:lncRNA from 1 species